UUUUAAACAAAGAUUCUCAUCAGAAUAUAGUAUACAAAAUGGGUUUUUAUACGUUUAAAGGUGCUUUAAAUCGUACUACUAUUAAAUUAUAUUCAAUGGCAAAUACCGAAAGUUGUUCUAGCGAAAAGAGGGCUUGAAUAUUCGUUAAAAGACGAGACAUUCAAAUGUAUCUCGGCCAUAAUGUAAAAUGGUGAAGAUGUUUUGGUUGUUUUGCCAACAGGUUAUGGGCUUAUUAUGGCAAAUAUUAAAAUAUUUCAGCUGCUACCUGACGUGUACGACGUGUUACUUGGCGUAACUAAUUCUAUCGUGAUAGUAAUAUCGCCACAUGAAUGUCAAUGAUCAAGGCAUUUCUGCAUGCAUGAUGUCAAAGUAUGAUACAAGGCCAUUCUGUGCUACAGUGUGCUACACUAUAUUAUGGUGAUGGCAGCGAUAUCAAAUUACCAUUGGAUCGACAUGAGAACCUGACGUAUAAGCUGUUCUAUAUGCACCCAGAAAUGUGUGUCUGUGACAAGAAAAUACAAGCUUUUUUGAACUGUAUACUGUAAACCUCUGAAUAUAAUGCUCACCUCAUUUCAAAUAUAAGCCCCCCUGAAUAUAAGCCCCCUGAAUAUAAGCCCAGUAUCCCACUAUGUUAUUUAACAUUGACAUUGUCUUUUAAUAUAGCAGAGAAUGAUAUUUGAAACACUGUCAUUGUCUUUAUAGCUUACUAUGUUAUUAAUGUGUUAUUAACACAUGUUUAUUUUCCUGUUUAUGACUGACUUGUUUAUUACUAACACAAUUGAUCGUCCAUGUAUAAGGCCCCUGUGCAUAUAAGCCCUCCCCCUCCCCCCCCUAAGCCCAUCAAAAAUCACUUACAAAAGAAUAUAAGCCCAGGGCUUAUAGUCAGAGGUUUACGGUAUUAUAUAUCCCAUAUUUUAACAAUAAACACAUUAUUUUUUAUAUUAUAUUACAUUAACAUAUAUACAUGGAUCACAUAUUAAGUCUUUAAAUGACAGUACAUUGUGUUUGUAAUUAUAAUUACCAUAAUUACUUGUGUCGAAAGUAAGAAAUGAAGUGAACAAAUCCAUAUCUAUUUGUUGAAAAUUUGUUGGCUGUGGG